GUUUUGCGCUGGAAUGCCGCCUCGCCUUUUCCUGCCGCUGCGAACGAUUCGGACGGAACCCACCGGCGCGGAGAGGUGCUUUGGCACAGCGGGCAGAAUGAAUGACUCAGAGUUUGGGGGAAGCGGUCCAAAAGCGGAGCGGUGUGAAUCCGACGGGAUAUAAAGCACAGAGGCAAAGCCGUGCACGAAGGCUACGGAGGCACGCACGCACUGUAAAUACACCGCCGGUAUGUACACAGAACAGGGCAGCCCGACAGCAGCACGGUGCGCACAGGCAGACGCGAGCGCUGCUGUCGGACUGCGGUGUACACAUCUGCUCCUGGCCCAGCCGAGGCGUCCCCCGCGAAGAUCCAGCUAGGGGGGAACCGUUGUGUGCUUAUCCCGUGUUACCAACGGUAACGCUAUUAAUCGACCAACAACAACAAAAAAUCACUAAUUCCACAUCUUUAAGCAAAACUACGUUACGUAAAUAUCUACAACCAGAAAGAGAGAGAGAAAUUCAGAGCUUGAAAGAGCGAAGCGGGCCCGGGAAAGGCUGCAGGAACCGAGGAGGCUCACACAUGGCCCUCAGCGUUAGCGUGGCUCUCUUCCGCUCCCCCCGCAGCCCCGAAGCAGCUAUUAAGAGUUUAAGGACAUACUGAGAACGUCUAAAAUCGUUAAUCCGUACAGGUGCGGAUGACUACAGCCUAGGAAAAUGAUACUGGCUCUUUAAACCAUCAAGAUGUGUUUAUAGGUUCAUCAAGAGAAAUUAAAGUUGGCUGUGAGCUCCCGAAUCCUA
rnacentral:lncRNA from 1 species